CAAGUCGAACGGGGUCCAUGGAGUGGCAACACUCCGGAAGACCUAGUGGCGAACGGGUGCGUAACACGUGAGGAACCUGCCCCGGAGACCGGGAUAACCCUCCGAAAGGAGAGCUAAUACCGGAUGUCGUCGUCUGAUCGCAUGGUCGGACGACGAAAUGGAUUCCGCUCCGGGAUGGCCUCGCGGCCUAUCAGCUUGUUGGUGGGGUAACGGCCUACCAAGGCGACGACGGGUAGCUGGUCUGAGAGGACGAUCAGCCACACUGGGACUGAGACACGGCCCAGACUCCUACGGGAGGCAGCAGUUAGGAAUCUUGCGCAAUGGGCGAAAGCCUGACGCAGCAACGCCGCGUGGGGGAUGAAGGCUCUCGGGUUGUAAACCCCUUUCAGCAGGGACGAUUAUGACGGUACCUGCAGAAGAAGGACCGGCCAACUACGUGCCAGCAGCCGCGGUAAUACGUAGGGUCCGAGCGUUGUCCGGAUUUAUUGGGCGUAAAGAGCUCGUAGGCGGUUCCGUAAGUCAGAUGUGAAAACUCAGGGCUCAACCCGGAGACGCCAUCUGAUACUGCGGUGACUGGAGUCUGGUAGGGGAACACGGAAUUCCUGGUGUAGCGGUGAAAUGCGCAGAUAUCAGGAGGAACACCGAUGGCGAAGGCAGUGUUCUGGGCCAGUACUGACGCUGAGGAGCGAAAGCGUGGGGAGCAAACAGGAUUAGAUACCCUGGUAGUCCACGCCGUAAACGUUGGGCACUAGGUGUGGGUCCUCAUCAACGGGAUCCGUGCCGUAGCUAACGCAUUAAGUGCCCCGCCUGGGGAGUACGGCCGCAAGGCUAAAACUC
rnacentral:rRNA from 1 species